UGUUUCUUCUUUUUGACGAUUUGAUAACUGAUGGCUAUUUUCCAACUUCUGGAUUCUGUUCUUGGUGCUUAAAAAGUUGUUGUGUGUACUCCAUCAUUUAAAUCAGUAUGUCUGUGAGCCCGGUUCUGAUAUUCGUAUUUUAAGAGCUCCUUUGUAAAGCUCACAUGGUUGUAAUGUGCAGCCAGAGUUGAUUGCCACACUUCUAGAUCCAGAGAAAGAGGAAGGGGUGGGGGAACUUACAUUCAGUGAGCAAGAACUAUUAUCUUCCCUAUAUAGUUUCAGUGACAUGGGGACCUGUAAUCAGGAGCAUUCCAUUAGUUUGAUACAAGUAUUUUGAUAAGCUGUUUGGAGUAAAAGGUGAGUCCUCCCAAGAAUAUGUUUAAGAAGCAAAGCAGUUACCCAAAUCACAUGUAUGUGACAAGCCAGGAAAUAGAUGGCCUUUAAGCAGGGAAGAAAAUGAGAAAAAAAAUGGAUAAGAAAAGAAGAGGGGGGGAAAUGACCUACUGUGAGCCUCUAGACCUCCCAUGGCUGAACUCCUGGUGCUUGGGGUGAGGAUUUCUUGUGGAUACAGUUUGAGUGGAAGGUUUCUGCAUGAUUGAUGGGGGAGGUCACGGAGGCAGGAACUGGGUCAGGAGUCUGCAUGCAAGUCUGAGUCUCAUCGUGUCAUAGCCGACGUUCACAUCAUACAUUCAGGAAGGCAAAGGUGCAAGAUACUGUCACAUUGUGACAGAAUAGAAUUUGCUGAUGUCAAGAAGUCACCUUGGUGAGCCAUGUUUAUGAGUUUCCACAGAGAGCCACUGUGACCAAAAUUCCCCCACUAAGCAUUAAGUGUCUAAGGAGGAGUCCUAAGACAGGACUCCCAAAGAGCAUUCUGUGGCUCUCAAAUUCUAAAGUUACAUGAAAAGAAAGAAAGAAAGAAAGACAGGGUUCCACAAUCAAAGAAAUUAAAGGACUUCCAAAGCAUUUCAUAUGCUAAUGUGCAUAGUGACUUUCUAAGAGGUGAGGUAUAGACACCAGGUCUCUCUUUUUGUUCUCUUUUACUAUCUCAAAGAACCAGAAUUUCUUGAAUCACUUUGGAAAACACUAUUGCAGUUCUAUAUCUCAGUAACUACUGCUGCAUAGAAUUUUUUCUUU
rnacentral:lncRNA from 1 species